GCUGGGCUUGGUGAUGCAUACCUGUAAUCCCAGCAGCCCGGGAGGCUGAGAUGGGAGGAUCUUGAGUUCAAAGCCAGCCUCAGCAAAAAGUGAGGUGCUAAGCAACUCAUGAGACCCUGUCUCUA
rnacentral:sRNA from 1 species